rnacentral:rRNA from 1 species
AAGUCAUAACAAGGUUUCCGUAGGUGAACCUGCGGAAGGAUCAUUAGUGAUUUGGCCGAGAGGCCUUAUAACAUCAUCCUCACACCUGUGAACCCGUCGGACCCCGGGAGACCGGGCCGAUAACCUUUACAAACAAUGUGUCAUGAAUGUAUAAUCAUAACAAACAAACACAACUUUCAACAACGGAUCUCUUGGCUCUCGCAUCGAUGAAGAACGCAGCGAAAUGCGAUAAGUAAUGUGAAUUGCAGAAUUCAGUGAAUCAUCGAAUCUUUGAACGCACCUUGCGCCUCUUGGUAUUCCGAGAGGCAUGCCUGUUUGAGUGUCAUGAAACCUCAAUCCCCAUGGGUUUUCACAAACCCAUGGUGGACUUGGACUUGGGCGUCUGCCUACCCAGGCUCGCCUCAAAUGGCUCAGUGGGAUCACCUUUGAACCUAUGCCUGACGUAAUAAGUUUCGUCAUCGGCCGGUCGCUGGUGCCUGCUUCCAACCACCAAUCCAUCUUUUGACAUUGACCUCAAAUCAGGUAGGGCUACCCGCUGAACUUAA